UACGGAGGGUGCAAGCGUUGUUCGGAAUCAUUGGGCGUAAAGCGCACGUAGGCGGCUUUGUAAGUUAGAGGUGAAAGCCCGGGGCUCAACCCCGGAAUUGCCUUUAAGACUGCAUCGCUUGAACGUCGGAGAGGUGAGUGGAAUUCCGAGUGUAGAGGUGAAAUUCGUAGAUAUUCGGAAGAACACCAGUGGCGAAGGCGGCUCACUGGACGACUGUUGACGCUGAGGUGCGAAAGCGUGGGGAGCAAACAGG
rnacentral:rRNA from 1 species